rnacentral:tRNA from 2 species
GCCCGAGUGGUGAAAUUGGUAGACGCAGGGGACUCAAAAUCCCCCGCCGCGAGGCGUGCCGGUUCGAGUCCGGCCUCGGGCACCA